GCCCUAAGUAUAGCUCAGUUGGCAGAGCAUGAAACUCUUAAUUUCAGGGCUGUGAGUUUGAGUCCCAUGUUGGGUG